GACGAACGCUGGCGGCGUGCCUAAUACAUGCAAGUUGAGCGCUGAAGGUUGGUACUUGUACCGACUGGAUGAGCAGCGAACGGGUGAGUAACGCGUGGGGAAUCUGCCUUUGAGCGGGGGACAACAUUUGGAAACGAAUGCUAAUACCGCAUAAAAACUUUAAACACAAGUUUUAAGUUUGAAAGAUGCAAUUGCAUCACUCAAAGAUGAUCCCGCGUUGUAUUAGCUAGUUGGUGAGGUAAAGGCUCACCAAGGCGAUGAUACAUAGCCGACCUGAGAGGGUGAUCGGCCACAUUGGGACUGAGACACGGCCCAAACUCCUACGGGAGGCAGCAGUAGGGAAUCUUCGGCAAUGGACGAAAGUCUGACCGAGCAACGCCGCGUGAGGGAAGAAGGUUGUCGGAUCGUAAAACUCUGUUGGUAGAGAAGAACGUUGGUGAGAGUGGAAAGCUCAUCAAGUGACGGUAACUACCCAGAAAGGGACGGCUAACUACGUG
rnacentral:rRNA from 1 species